rnacentral:rRNA from 1 species
UUUGACCUCGGAUCANGUAGGGAUACCCGCUGAACUUAAGCAUAUCAAUAA